rnacentral:rRNA from 1 species
GAGAAUGGCCUUACCACCCUGAAUGCGCCCAAUCUCGCCUGAUCUCAGAAGCUAAGCAGGGUCGGGCAUUGUUAGUACUUGGAUGUUUUAUUUUUA